rnacentral:rRNA from 1 species
UACGUAGGGUGCGAGCGUUGCCCGGAUUUAUUGGGCGUAAAGGGCGCGUAGGCGGCCACGCACGUCCGUUGUGAAAUCGCCCGGCUCAACUGGGCGGGGUCAGCGGAUACGGUGUGGCUAGAGCAAGCUAGGGGGCAAUGGAAUUCCCGGUGUAGUGGUGGAAUGCGUAGAUAUCGGGGAGGAACACCAGUGGCGAAGGCGGUUGCCUGGAGCUUUGCUGACGCUGAUGCGCGAAAGCGUGGGGAGCGAUCCGG